AUUGAACGCUGGCGGCAUGCUUUACACAUGCAAGUCGAACGGCAGCACGGGCUUCGGCCUGGUGGCGAGUGGCGAACGGGUGAGUAAUGCAUCGGAACGUGCCCAUGUUGUGGGGGAUAACUACGCGAAAGCGUGGCUAAUACCGCAUACGCCCUGAGGGGGAAAGCGGGGGAUUCUUCGGAACCUCGCGCAAUUGGAGCGGCCGAUGUCAGAUUAGCUUGUUGGUGAGGUAAAGGCUCACCAAGGCGACGAUCUGUAGCGGGUCUGAGAGGAUGAUCCGCCACACUGGGACUGAGACACGGCCCAGACUCCUACGGGAGGCAGCAGUGGGGAAUUUUGGACAAUGGGGGCAACCCUGAUCCAGCCAUGCCGCGUGAGUGAAGAAGGCCUUCGGGUUGUAAAGCUCUUUCAGCCGGGAAGAAAUCGUAUGGGUUAAUACCCUGUGCGGAUGACGGUACCGGCAUAAGAAGCACCGGCUAACUACGUG
rnacentral:rRNA from 1 species